rnacentral:rRNA from 1 species
CCUACGGGUGGCAGCAGUGAGGAAUAUUGGUCAAUGGGCGAGAGCCUGAACCAGCCACGUCGCGUGAGGGAUGAAGGUUCUCUGGAUCGUAAACCUCUUUUAUAAGGGAAUAAAGUGUGGGACGUGUCCUAUUUUGUAUGUACCUUAUGAAUAAGGAUCGGCUAAAUCCGUGCCAGCAGCCGCGGUAAUACGGAGGAUCCGAGCGUUAUCCGGAUUUAUUGGGUUUAAAGGGUGCGUAGGCGGCCUUUUAAGUCAGCGGUGAAAGUCUGUGGCUCAACCAUAGCAUUGCCGUUGAAACUGGGGGGCUGGAGUAUGGUUGAGGCAGGCGGAAUGCGUGGUGUAGCGGUGAAAUGCUUAGAUAUCACGCAGAACCCCGAUUGCGAAGGCAACCUGCCAAGCCAUGACUGACGCUGAGGCACGAAAGCGUGGGGAUCAAACAGGAUUAGAUACCCCAGUAGUC